GGGUUUUAAUUAGGCGACUGCUCAUGAAUUAUUUUAAUAGCUGCAGUAUGUUGACUGUACAAAGGUAGCAUAAUAAAUUGUCUUUUUAAUUGAAGAAUUGUAUGAAAAGAAUUAAUGGAAAUAAUAAACUGU
rnacentral:rRNA from 1 species